UACGGAGGGUGCGAGCGUUGUCCGGAAUCACGGGGCGUAAAGGGCGCGUAGGUGGCUCACGCAAGCGUGCGGUGAAAGCCCGGGGCUCAACCCCGGGUCGGCCGUGCGGACUGCGGGGCUCGAGCACUGUAGGGGCAGAUGGAAUUCCGGGUGUAGCGGUGGAAUGCGUAGAGAUCCGGAAGAACACCGGUGGCGAAGGCGGUCUGCUGGGCAGUUGCUGACACUGAGGCGCGACAGCGUGGGGAGCAAACAGG
rnacentral:rRNA from 1 species